rnacentral:rRNA from 1 species
UACCUACGGGAGGCAGCAGUGGGGGAUAUUGCACAAUGGGGGGAACCCUGAUGCAGCGACGCCGCGUGGGCGAUGGAGUGCUUCGGCAUGUAAAGCCCUAUCAGCAGGGAAGAAAAUGACGGUACCUGACUAAGAAGCCCCGGCUAAAUACGUGCCAGCAGCCGCGGUAAUACGUAUGGGGCAAGCGUUAUCCGGAUUUACUGGGUGUAAAGGGAGCGUAGGUGGCAGGGCAAGUCAGAUGUGAAAACCCGGGGCUCAACUCCGGGAGUGCAUUUGAAACUGUCCAGCUAGAGUGCAGGAGAGGG